rnacentral:rRNA from 1 species
GUGGGGAAUCUUCCGCAAUGGACGAAAGUCUGACGGAGCAACGCCGCGUGAGUGAAGAAGGUUUUCGGAUCGUAAAGCUCUUUCGUUAGGGACGAACGUGCUCUUUGUGAAUAAUGAGGAGUAAUGACGGUACCUAAAUAAGAAGCCACGGCUAACUACGUGCCAGCAGCCGCGGUAAUACGUAGGUGGCAAGCGUUGACCGGAAUUAUUGGGCGUAAAGCGCGCGCAGGCGGGAUAUCAAGUCUGUCUUAAAAGUGCGAGGCUCAACCUCGUGAGGGGACAGAAACUGGUAUUCUUGAGUGUCGGAGAGGAAAGUGGAAUUCCAAGUGUAGCGGUGAAAUGCGUAGAGAUUUGGAAGAACACCAGUGGCGAAGGCGACUUUCUGGACGAUGUCUGACGCUGAGGCGCGAAAGCUAGGGGAGCGAACGGGAUUAGAAACCCGGGUAGUCC